CCAGAUACACCAGGUGAAUCAUUCGCUGCUUUGUUGUUCUUAUGCGAAGCACUAGUUUCCUCAAUUUUCAAGGCUGGAGAAUCAUGGCCAGCAGCAAAACCAAGCCUUGCAACAUUCGAGAACAGUAUCCUCUCCCCAACAAGAGGAGGGCUUGAUGACGUUGGAGGACUCGAUGACAUUGUGGUGGAACUUCCAAGAGCUUAAACAUAAAAAGGAACUAGGUGAAACAAGUUUACCAUUAAUAAAAAAAUGUUCCACCACCAAAAACAUGUAUGCAUUUGCAGCCUUCAAUAAAAGGCUACAAGGAAAGAAAAAAAGAAAAGAAAUGAAAAAAAAAAACAACAAUAACAACUACAACGAAAAAGUGUUCAACAUUGUAAUCAGGAUUGCAAACUAUAGAUCUAGUAAUGGUCAUUCAGACAAAUAACUAUAUCUAAAUUUGUGAACUGACAACAACAUAGUUCAUUGCCAACCCAAGAUGAAAGGAUCCUAGUAAAAUCAUGACGCAAGGAAGCCCUACACUACAACAAAGCAAGUUUCCUGAAGUAAACUUUUAGAUGUUCUCAAAAAAAAGAAAAAAAAAAACCAAGUGAUGGUUUUGUUACUAAACUAUAAUUUACUUUUAGAAUUUUGCAAAGAAGUUUCUAAUGACUUGUUUCUGUUGGAACAACCCCCCAAAAAUCUGGAGUGUCUACUCAGAGAAGCCCAUACGCUAAAGAAGAACGCACCAAACUUCCUUGUUCAAGGUCAAUCAUUAUACACCAAAAGAGGUUUUUUCUCCGCCUUUAUUUUUAGACAGGUCACAAACUUGCUUGAUGUUACCUAAAUUGAUAUCACCCUAAAGUAUCUUAUCACUGCAAGAAAGCAAAUGUCCAAAUGAUCAACACAUAAACAGCAAAACAUUACCUUCAAAGUCGUCAAUGGAAAAUUUAGGGGAGUCAUCAUGAAAGGAGUGCUCAAAAUUAGAUAAAAUGGGCACAGAAUGUGCAGCAGCAGCUACUUCAGCCUUGACCUGCUCCUUCCGUUCCUAGAAAUAAGAAUAGCACAUAAUUCUAAAAAGCAUGGCAAAUUCAUGUUACAUUUUCACAAGAGAACUGAGGGAAAGAAAUCACUAAAAACUAAGUCAACAUUAAGAACAUAAAAAUUCAAAAGUUUUAACCAGUAUGUAAUAUAUAUACUAAUUACACGAACUAGUGGCUGCACAAAAGAUUCUUAAUCCAUUCCCUAAAAUGUUGUUUACACAAAUCGGGCAAAGUAAAGGCACCUUUUUGGCUAGUUGCUUCCUCUGCUUCUCCCGCUUCUUGAUCUCAUCCAUGAAUGGAAACAGGGCAUCAGGAGGUAGCAUCUCACUCAAAUUAAUUUCACAUAGCUGAAAAUAUGAAUUAGUGAUCGGUAUAAUAAUAAGCAGUGAAGAUGCAAAUAUGGACAAAGUCAACAGCAAAAGAGAUACGUGAAAUGUCGUCGUUAAAGAAAAAUGACUUAAAUAACGAUAGCGUCUUCUCAUAGCCUCUGAUUGAGUCAAUGUCUCCAACUGCAAGAUUGUUCCACGUACUCUGUGCGGAAGCAUAUCAUAGCUCCCAUAAUGGUGUAGAAGACACUUCAUGUUUAGAGGGUGAAGAAUGAGGUGCUGACCAUCAACAGCCUGGUAGAAAUUGUAUGAGGCAUUGUCCUUAACAUCUCUUUUCUGCAAAUUCUUGCUUCCAUCGUAAGAGGAUGAUAAAAUUGCAUCUUUGCCCUCUGGUGAUGCAACCAAAUCCAAUUUCACAUUGUCAUACUGCUUAUUUUCAUCAUUGAUAUCAACAGAUUGUGUUGAAUAUCUAGAAGUAGCAUCUUCAUGAUAAGCACAAUUAGCAUUUGUGGUUAACAAAAACUCUUGAGAUUGUUUUCGACUGUUGGAACAUUUAUCAUUUCCACUAUUGUCACAUACUUGCUGCUCAUUCCAAUACUUCUUCCUCUGUUUUAAUUGUUCCAUUGCUGCACAAACAUAUGGAAGCUUCUCCAAGUCAUCCACAAGUCCUGAAUCAGCUCUAGCUAACCAACCAUCCAAAUCUGAUAUUGCUUGUCUCACUGACAGUUCUACAUCGGAAGUAAAUGUAAACUUUGAGAAGGGAUCAGAAACCCCAUCAUUGCAACUCAGCAUGGUAUCAAUCUCCAGCUUAUUUUUCUGAGAUGGAGUGAAUGAAUCCUUUUGCCGAGUUAGAAGCAUGAACUCUAUGGUAUCACCAACACAGUAAUGCUUAACAUUCUCAAUAUAGAGGGUGUACAAAUCCUUUUGAGAUAUCAUCACAAAACAUAAAGGGCAUCUUUUAAAGCAAUCACCUUUGUGAUCCUCCUUGCCCAUUAGCAAAUACUGAAGAAUGCAGGGGAAACAAAAUAUGUGUCCACAUGAAGUUAUCUGUGGGCAUAGAGGAUAUUCCAAACAAAUAGGACACUGCACUGGACACGAGGUUGCAUAACUCACACAGAUUAUAUCCUCCCACCUAAGCAUUUUAUCAGGAUCCAUCAAUUCAGGUGCAUAAUUCCCUGUAUCUAACACAACAAACUUGUAAUUAGCCUGAAGGAAUAAAUCCUUGUUGUACGGUUUUAUCUUCUGCUGCCGUCUUGGAGGGGGGGCUCUUGGGUGAGGACGAAUAAUGGGGUCAUAGUGAAAAUUCAAUAAAUGGUUAGCGUUCAUCAUCUGGGCUCUUCUUCCUGAUGAAUGUGCACUGCCUCCUUGACUAUUGAUAGGACUAUUACUUUGUUGAACUUGAGGUGAGCCAACAGUCCCUGAUAUUUUCCCUUUGGGCUGAGCAGAUCCAACCCCUUGACCACCAAGGUGAGACUGGGCAUGUGUCUCACCAUUUUGCUGAGGCAAACUUCUCUUCCCAUUUGAUGUCCUUAAUUCAUUCACCUUUUUGGAAGAUCCACCAGAAUCCUCAGCAGCUGGAGCCAAUAGGCCUGAUACAGCGAUCGGAGAUUGAGCGUCGGGGAAUUGCAUGGAUUGGAAUUGGCGGGAGAGAGAAGAGGGAGAUUGAGGAAGAGAGAGGGAGGUGCCAUAAUUAGAAUUAGGGUUAGGAGAGUUCGAAUCAAGCGAAGAAGACGAAGUGGAACCUUUGGCUUGGAAGGGCAAGAUGGACAUGAAAAUCAAAAAGAAGGUUCUGGCAAGUAGCUUGAGUUCG
rnacentral:misc_RNA from 1 species